rnacentral:snoRNA from 1 species
AAGACUGUACUUUCAGGGAUCAUUUCUAUAGUUCGUUACUAGAGAAGUUUCUCUGAACGUGUAGGAAUGCUGAGCAGAUCACAAGA